AUGAGCACACGCCGAAGAGCAGGCAAGUCUCGUCCUAAACCAACCCUAGACCAAUCCCUAAAACCUAGGCCUCCUGUCUCAUCCAACGCGUCUCCGCCGCCGCCACUCUCUCCCUCCUCUUCCCCACCCAGCCAACGAACCCCUUCCUGCUCCCCUUCUCCACCCUUGGAUGAAGAUCCAAGGGAUCUCCUCGCGCCAGCCAGGGCCUUCCCGCAGCUUUCCUCGCACUGGACCGGGAGGAGCCCGGUCUCCCGAGCGCCUCCUCGCCGCAUCGCGCCGGCCGACCGCCGACGACCCGAGACCAGGCGCCACAAGCAGAUGAGCCCCUACCUUCUCUCAGGAACCACACGCCAUGGCUGGAGCUCCACGCCCCGCCUUCCUCGCCUCGCUGCCGCAGCAACAACAGCAGUUCGCCAAGCCCCGGCACCGCUCCUCCUCUGCCCACCACCUUUGGCAGUCGCCGCCGCCGACCAGCAGAUGCGCUGCCGCCGUCCGUUCGUCUACAGCGACCUCCGGCCUCGCCCGCGCCGGCCCCGCCGCAAGCCGCCCUGCUCUCUGUGCUCGCCGUCGCUGCCAUCCCGUGCGCCCGCCUCUGUUCGCCUGCAGCGAGCGACAGAGACAUCCCCGUGCCCGUUGACCGCAUCGGCCAGCUGCGUGGGCCGCGCCAGACCCAACUGCCUCCCCUCCAGCUCCUGGGCCGAGCCCAUGGCAGGCAUUCAGCCACCGGGCGACAAUGGCGGCGGCAGCGACCUCCGGGCUCCUACUCCGGAAGGAGCUUCAUCGGAGAAUGCAAGAAGACCGGGGAGUGGGAGCGCUCGCUGCUCUGCUCUGGGCUGGGCUUUGGGGUCGCUUCCUUUGCGCCACCAGGAUGGAGGCGACCGGAGGGAGGGAGCAACGACGACGAUGCAACACCUCCUCUGCGCCUAUAAAUACAGCAGAAGCCAUUAUCUAUCGAUCAAUCAAACCGCUUCGGCUAUCAAUCGUCUCAAUCGUUCCUCCCUCCCGCUAACAACAGAAGAGAAGAGAACAGGCUCCCUUCUUCCUCCCCACCCGUCUUCCCUGCCCGGUUCCGGCUGCCCCCCACCCCACCUCCAACGCCAUGGCCGCUGUUAG
rnacentral:rRNA from 1 species